rnacentral:snRNA from 1 species
GUGCUUGCUUAGGCAGUACAUUUACUAAAAUUGGAACAAUCCAGAAGAUUAGCAUGGCCCUAUGCAAGGAUGACAUAUAAAUUAGUGAAGUGAUUCAUAUUUUU